rnacentral:snoRNA from 1 species
GUCUUCUCACUGAGCCCCUUUCUGUCAACCGGUGGCAGAUUAUGGAUUCGCACAAGAGGAGAGGGGUCACAGAACUAGCACAUAUCUUCUGGUUUUGCAGAGGUAUAUUUGGCUGUUGUGUGAAGCAUUC